rnacentral:rRNA from 1 species
AUGGCAAACCCCCUUAAGAGUAUUGUGGCGCCCAUCCGUUGUGCAAAUAUCGAUCUGGAUGAUAUCCUCCAAAGCUUCCCUGCCAUCCGAACUAGAUUCCCGCUGUGUAACCUGGGCCUUCCUCUUUCCACACAUAUCCUCACAAAAUCUGACUGUCAUUUCUUGGUGGACAAGGUCGCCCAGAAACUUCCUCCUUGGCAAGGCAGAAACAUCAAUAUUGCUGGUAGAUCCACUCUUGUGAAGUAUGUGUUAUCCUCCCAGAUCAUCUACUACCUCACCGCACUCGAUAUUCCAGUUGGGACCACAGAUGAUAUAGCUAAGAUUCAAAGGUCUUCUUAUGGACUGGCACAAAUAAGUUGUCAGGAGAGAGCUUGGGUUGGUUUUGACAUCCCUUGUGAUGACGAUGACCUAGAUCUUUUCUACUCUGUGACGACUCUUACCAUGGGUGAUGGCACGAAGGCGAGUUUCUGGUUCGCUCCCUGGCUACAGGGGCAAAAGCCAAAGGACAUGGCUCCGGGUAUCUUCGCCCUUUCAAAGCGCAAGAAUGCCUGUGUGGCAAAGGCUUUGACAAACAGUGACUGGAUUCGCCGUAUCAACAUGCAGGGAGGCCUCUCUGUCGGCCACAUACAACAAUUUGUUAAUCUUUGGAGCAAGGUCCAGGAGGUACAACUCACGGCGGGCACAGAGGAUGUCAUUCAAUGGAAAUUUACGACGGAUGGAUGCUACUCUGUUGCCACGGCGUACAGAAUGCAAUUGGCUUGA